rnacentral:rRNA from 1 species
UACGUAGGGUGCGAGCGUUGUCCGGAAUUACUGGGCGUAAAGAGCUCGUAGGUGGUUUGUCGCGUUGUUCGUGAAAACUCACAGCUUAACUGUGGGCGUGCGGGCGAUACGGGCAGACUGGAGUACUGCAGGGGAGACUGGAAUUCCUGGUGUAGCGGUGGAAUGCGCAGAUAUCAGGAGGAACACCGGUGGCGAAGGCGGGUCUCUGGGCAGUAACUGACGCUGGAGGAGCGAAAGCCGUGGGGAGCAAACAGG